rnacentral:tRNA from 1 species
UCCCUGGAGGACUAGUGUUUAGGUCUUGGUGCUCUCACCACUGCAGCCCGGGUUCAAUUCCCAGUCAGGGAA